CAGCUGAAAAGGAUAGAGUUGUUGACACAGAUCUCUAGAUCCAGAAAAAAUAUCUUCUAGGAAUUAAGGCAAAAUAAAGACAUUCUCAGGCACACUAAGAGAACUUGUUGCUAGCUAGUGUCCUCUGAAAGAAAUGCUACUGGAAGCUCUUCCCAGCUGAAGGAGAUAACAGAAGGACAUGUGGAACUUCAGGAAUGAAGGAAGAGCACAAGAUAUGGUAAUAUGUGGUUGGAUGUAUGGACUGUUUUUCCCAUCUUAAAUUCUUUCAGAUGGCUGUUGAAGCGAGUUUUCAGUGUACCUGGAUGUCAUAUCCAUGACAAGUACAGCAUGCAGGAGUGUGGGUCCUAUGGGAUAAAGAGGGAGCCUGUGGAUGCUUCAAGUGUGUUGCCCAAGUUCCUCCAGGCCCCACGGCUGAACCCAACUCCAGGGACCCCUUAGUCAUAGGAAGAUGCCUCACCCCAGGAAACAUCCCCUUCCCAGCACAUCUGCUUCCAGGGACUGCUCGAUGCCAGGGACGGGGUCUCACUAUGUUCAAGACAGGUUGGCCUCAAACUUCCAGAGUCCUCCUUAGCCUCCCAAGUAGCUGAGACUACAGAUCAUUUCCCAUGAUCAGAGAGAGAGCCCAGGAGGGUGCCGUGGAUGUUCUCAGGUGUUCUAUGCACUAGCAGGGUUCUGGUCAGAUGCAUGUGGCUGAGUUAAGAUGCAAGCAGUUUGAAUCAUUUCAGGACCCCUCAGCACCUUGAAAAGCCUGCUGCAGCCCUUGAAGAGUUUUCUCUCCAGGAGCUCUAGGUGUAAGGAUCCGGCGAAUCGUUGAAGAAAGAGACCACAAGAGACCAGCUUCAUGCAAUGGGCAGGAGGGAGUUUAUUGAAGAGGAUCCUAAUUCAGUGCGCUGAGGCUCAAGGCUCACUCAGGAAGGGA